rnacentral:rRNA from 1 species
UACGUAGGGGGCAAGCGUUGUCCGGAAUUAUUGGGCGUAAAGAGCUCGUAGGCGGUUUGUCGCGUCUGCUGUGAAAACUCGGGGCUUAACUCCGGGCCUGCAGUGGGUACGGGCAGACUAGAGUGCGGUAGGGGAGACUGGAAUUCCUGGUGUAGCGGUGAAAUGCGCAGAUAUCAGGAAGAACACCCGUGGCUAAGGCGGCUCUCUAGUACGGUACUGACGCUGAGACGCGAAAGCGUGGGGAGCGAACAGG